ensembl:lncRNA
GUGAUUCAGACGUCACUAAUGGUGGCUAGUUACGCCGCUGUGCUUAAUUGAAGUUUGUUUCUAACAGAGUAGGAGAUAUUUAGCAAAGUACGGAAAGACAUUUUUUUCUUAUACACAUACAAAUCGGAGACCAAAAGCGAAGAGAAAGAGGAAAGCAAACAAAAUGAGUUUGAGGUUGUGUGCGGCUCUGACGUCACAAAGAGACGGUAAAGACUUGAAGCGAGGCCAGCGGCCAGAAGAAAAACGGAUGUUCUGGACAGACCGUGAAGUUUAGGAAGAACGGAUAACAACCCGGUUCAGCAGAGCGCCACGCUCGCAGGCUUUGACAGGGAGGGAGAGGGGGCCACGAGCUGCCGGAGACGUCCUCCGAGUCACAGACACGCACCUUGUUAAGGCUGUUAGGAUCAACGCCAUGAUUGAUCUACAUGUCAGAUCCU